rnacentral:rRNA from 1 species
AUUGAACGCUGGCGGCAGGCUUAACACAUGCAAGUCGAACGGUAACAUAAAGAAGCUUGCUUCUUUGAUGACGAGUGGCGGACGGGUGAGUAAUGCUUGGGAAUCUAGCUUAUGGAGGGGGAUAACUACGGGAAACUGUAGCUAAUACCGCGUAAUAUCGAAAGAUUAAAGUGUGGGACCUUCGGGCCACAUGCCAUAGGAUGAGCCCAAGUGGGAUUAGGUAGUUGGUGAGGUAAAGGCUCACCAAGCCGACGAUCUCUAGCUGGUCUGAGAGGAUGACCAGCCACACUGGGACUGAGACACGGCCCAGACUCCUACGGGAGGCAGCAGUGGGGAAUAUUGCGCAAUGGGGGCAACCCUGAUGCAGCGACGCCGCGUGAGGGAUGACGGCCUUCGGGUUGUAAACCUCUGUUAGCAGGGAAGAAGAGAGAUUGACGGUACCUGCAGAGAAAGCGCCGGCUAACUACGUGCCAGCAGCCGCGGUAAUACGUAGGGCGCGAGCGUUGUCCGGAAUUUAUGGCGUAAAGCUUGUAGGCGGUUUGUCGCGUCUGCUGUGAAGGCCGGGGCUUAACUCCGUGUAUUGCAGUGGGUACGGGCAGACUAGAGUGCAGUAGGGGAGACUGGAAUUCCUGGUGUAGCGGUGGAAUGCGCAGAUAUCAGGAGGAACACCGAUGGCGAAGGCAGGUCUCUGGGCUGUAACUGACGCCGAGAAGCGAAAGCAUGGGGAGCGAACAGGAUUAGAUACCCUGGUAGUCCAUGCCGUAAACGUUGGGCACUAGGUGUGGGGAACAUUCCACGUUUUCCGCGCCGUAGCUAACGCAUUAAGUGCCCCGCCUGGGGAGUACGGCCGCAAGGCUAAAACUCAAAGAAAUUGACGGGGGCCCGCACAAGCGGCGGAGCAUGCGGAUUAAUUCGAUGCAACGCGAAGAACCUUACCAAGGCUUGACAUAUACUGGACCGCAUCAGAGAUGGUGUUUCCCUUCGGGGCUGGUAUACAGGUGGUGCAUGGUUGUCGUCAGCUCGUGUCGUGAGAUGUUGGGUUAAGUCCCGCAACGAGCGCAACCCUCGUUCUAUGUUGCCAGCACGUAAUGGUGGGGACUCAUAGGAGACUGCCGGGGUCAACUCGGAGGAAGGUGGGGAUGACGUCAAAUCAUCAUGCCCCUUAUGUCUUGGGCUUCACGCAUGCUACAAUGGCCGGUACAGAGGGUUGCGAUACUGUGAGGUGGAGCUAAUCCCUAAAAGCCGGUCUCAGUUCGGAUUGGGGUCUGCAACUCGACCCCAUGAAGUCGGAGUCGCUAGUAAUCGCAGAUCAGCAACGCUGCGGUGAAUACGUUCCCGGGCCU